rnacentral:rRNA from 1 species
CCUACGGGGGGCUGCAGUGGGGAAUAUUGCACAAUGGGCGCAAGCCUGAUGCAGCCAUGCCGCGUGUGUGAAGAAGGCCUUCGGGUUGUAAAGCACUUUCAGCGGGGAGGAAGGCGUUAAGGUUAAUAACCUUGUCGAUUGACGUUACCCGCAGAAGAAGCACCGGCUAACUCCGUGCCAGCAGCCGCGGUAAUACGGAGGGUGCAAGCGUUAAUCGGAAUUACUGGGCGUAAAGCGCACGCAGGCGGUCUGUCAAGUCGGAUGUGAAAUCCCCGGGCUCAACCUGGGAACUGCAUUCGAAACUGGCAGGCUAGAGUCUUGUAGUGGGGGGUAGGAUUCCAGGUGUAGCGGUGAAAUGCGUAGAGAUCUGGAGGAAUACCGGUGGCGAAGGCGGCCCCCUGGACAAAGACUGACGCUCAGGUGCGAAAGCGUGGGGAGCAAACAGGAUUAGAUACCCCUGUAGUC